rnacentral:rRNA from 1 species
UCGGUGAGGUGAUAUGAACCGUUAUAACCGGCGAUUUCCGAAUGGGGAAACCCAGUGUGUUUCGACACACUAUCAUUAACUGAAUCCAUAGGUUAAUGAGGCGAACCGGGGGAACUGAAACAUCUAAGUACCCCGAGGAAAAGAAAUCAACCGAGAUUCCCCCAGUAGCGGCGAGCGAACGGGGAGGAGCCCAGAGCCUGAAUCAGUGUGUGUGUUAGUGGAAGCGUCUGGAAAGGCGUGCGAUACAGGGUGACAGCCCCGUACACAAAAAUGCACAUAUUGUGAGCUCGAUGAGUAGGGCGGGACACGUGGUAUCCUGUCUGAAUAUGGGGGGACCAUCCUCCAAGGCUAAAUACUCCUGACUGACCGAUAGUGAACCAGUACCGUGAGGGAAAGGCGAAAAGAACCCCGGCGAGGGGAGUGAAAAAGAACCUGAAACCGUGUACGUACAAGCAGUGGGAGCCUCUUAAUGGGGUGACUGCGUACCUUUUGUAUAAUGGGUCAGCGACUUAUAUUCUGUAGCAAGGUUAACCGAAUAGGGGAGCCGAAGGGAAACCGAGUCUUAACUGGGCGUUAAGUUGCAGGGUAUAGACCCGAAACCCGGUGAUCUAGCCAUGGGCAGGUUGAAGGUUGGGUAACACUAACUGGAGGACCGAACCGACUAAUGUUGAAAAAUUAGCGGAUGACUUGUGGCUGGGGGUGAAAGGCCAAUCAAACCGGGAGAUAGCUGGUUCUCCCCGAAAGCUAUUUAGGUAGCGCCUCGUGAAUUCAUCUCCGGGGGUAGAGCACUGUUUCGGCAAGGGGGUCAUCCCGACUUACCAACCCGAUGCAAACUGCGAAUACCGGAGAAUGUUAUCACGGGAGACACACGGCGGGUGCUAACGUCCGUCGUGAAGAGGGAAACAACCCAGACCGCCAGCUAAGGUCCCAAAGUCAUGGUUAAGUGGGAAACGAUGUGGGAAGGCCCAGACAGCCAGGAUGUUGGCUUAGAAGCAGCCAUCAUUUAAAGAAAGCGUAAUAGCUCACUGGUCGAGUCGGCCUGCGCGGAAGAUGUAACGGGGCUAAACCAUGCACCGAAGCUGCGGCAGCGACACUAUGUGUUGUUGGGUAGGGGAGCGUUCUGUAAGCCUGUGAAGGUGGCCUGUGAGGGUUGCUGGAGGUAUCAGAAGUGCGAAUGCUGACAUAAGUAACGAUAAAGCGGGUGAAAAGCCCGCUCGCCGGAAGACCAAGGGUUCCUGUCCAACGUUAAUCGGGGCAGGGUGAGUCGACCCCUAAGGCGAGGCCGAAAGGCGUAGUCGAUGGGAAACAGGUUAAUAUUCCUGUACUUGGUGUUACUGCGAAGGGGGGACGGAGAAGGCUAUGUUGGCCGGGCGACGGUUGUCCCGGUUUAAGCGUGUAGGCUGGUUUUCCAGGCAAAUCCGGAAAACCAAGGCUGAGGCGUGAUGA